rnacentral:rRNA from 1 species
CCUACGGGGUGCAGCAGUGGGGAAUAUUGGACAAUGGGCGAAAGCCUGAUUCAGCCAUGCCGCGUGUGUGAAGAAGGCCUUCGGGUUGUAAAGCACUUUCAGUGGGGAAGAAAGCCUUGGGGCUAAUACCCUCGAGGAAGGACAUCACCCACAGAAGAAGCACCGGCUAACUCCGUGCCAGCAGCCGCGGUAAUACGGAGGGUGCGAGCGUUAAUCGGAAUUACUGGGCGUAAAGCGCGCGUAGGCGGUCUGAUAAGCCGGUUGUGAAAGCCCCGGGCUCAACCUGGGAACGGCAUCCGGAACUGUCAGGCUAGAGUGCAGGAGAGGAAGGUAGAAUUCCCGGUGUAGCGGUGAAAUGCGUAGAGAUCGGGAGGAAUACCAGUGGCGAAGGCGGCCUUCUGGACUGACACUGACGCUGAGGUGCGAAAGCGUGGGUAGCAAACAGGAUUAGAUACCCGGGUAGUC